UACGUAGGUGGCAAGCGUUGUCCGGAUUUAUUGGGUUUAAAGGGUGCGUAGGCGGUCUUAUAAGUCAGUGGUGAAAUACGGCAGCUCAACUGUCGAGGUGCCAUUGAUACUGAUGGACUUGAGUGAAGUCGAGGUAGGCGGAAUUGACGGUGUAGCGGUGAAAUGCUUAGAUAUCGUCAAGAACACCAAUAGUGAAGACAGCUUACUAGGCUUAUACUGACGCUGAGGCACGAAAGUGUGGGGAUCAAACAGG
rnacentral:rRNA from 1 species